UUUUUAAUAGAAAUUCUCCUAGAGCAUGCUUUACAGAGCUGGUUGGCAUUACUGGGAUUGUCCCUAAAGAAGACCUUGAUGCCUAGCUAGCGCCUGCCAAAGAAAUGUCCUAUUAUUAAAUGCUACCAAUGAAGACAAGAAGAAACUUGUGGCUGCCGCAUUCAACAAUAAAGGUGGCUGCCAUAACUGUUGCUUCUUUGGGAUGGAAUAGAUAGAGGUAACUCUUUAUCGUUUUUGCUCAUUAUACUUUGACAAAAAUUACUACUAACUUUUAUUUUUUUUAUUCAAAGACUUGUGCAGGUUUAGUUUUAGUAUAUCUUAAACCUUAGGUAUCUGGAACUGCAUUUGAUAAAGUAUCAUUAUAUACUUGCUUUCUCUAUUAGCUUUACACUAAAUUGUCGGAUGACCAUCUGAUGAAAGUACAAAAAGUUUCGCUUGAAAUAUCUCUCUUCUCAAAGAGCAAUAACACCUUAAUCAUGUUGGUUUUGUUUUUUAGAUGCGUGAUAAUUAGUAUCUAAAUGUAACACACUAAACAUUUUGAGUGAGAUUUAACAAUUGACACAACUUUUUGUCAUACUUAUGUAUUUGUUGCACUUUUAACCGAAAAAAUGGUAUAUGUAUUUUCUCAUAGAAUCUAUUAACAUAUUCUGAAGUUACAAAUUACUGAAGUCCAAGAUUUUGCUGAUGAAUAAGUUUUAAGUGAAAUAAUAUGUUCAGUGCAACUCUGACCUCUAACAAGGUAUUUGACUACAGAAAAGGCCCAGUAGUAUCUACUUUUGUUGUCGCUGCCAGAGGAAUAUGACAUCAGAAGUUCAGUGUACUUGAGAAGACAAAGAUCCAGGAAGGGUUAAGGAAAGAAAACAUAGUUGUGCAAGAAGAGCUGGAUGCUUACAAGAAGAGUUCAAGUGCAUUUUGAUGCUUCAUCUAUGGAAUGUAAGCAAGAGGAGCUGAGAGUAGUCCUUUUCGCUAUUUCCAUUUUCAUAUUCGAACUGUAUAAAUAGAUAUCUGAUGCAUCAUGUUAUCUAAGUAAGGUUUAGAAUUGACUUGAAUGCAAGUUUGCCCCAGCAUACUGAGGAUAAGUUUUACCAAUUAACAGGAAGUUCCCGAGAUCU
rnacentral:lncRNA from 1 species